rnacentral:rRNA from 1 species
CAGUCGCCGCGGUAAUACGUAGGUCCCGAGCGUUGUCCGGAUUUAUUGGGCGUAAAGCGAGCGCAGGCGGUUAGAUAAGUCUGAAGUUAAAGGCUGUGGCUUAACCAUAGUACGCUUUGGAAACUGUUUAACUUGAGUGCAAGAGGGGAGAGUGGAAUUCCAUGUGUAGCGGUGAAAUGCGUAGAUAUAUGGAGGAACACCGGUGGCGAAAGCGGCUCUCUGGCUUGUAACUGACGCUGAGGCUCGAAAGCGUUGGGAGCAAACAGGAUUAGAUACCCGAGUAGUCCCUGUCUCUUAUACU